AACUUUUGCAGACCAUCUACAACUCUAAAGAGAGACGAGUCUAGAACCUUCCGGGGCACCACACCAUUGAAGUGAUGGACCGCGUGGCGAGGCUGGUGUCGGAGCGGACGGUGGUGGUGUUCACGGUGAGCAACUGCAGCUGGUGCAACGUCGUGACGUCGCUGCUGGACAGCCUGGGCGUGCACGCCGCCGUGCACGAUCUGGACAGGGACCCCCGGGGCCGGGAGAUGGAGCGGGAACUCGCCAGGAGGCUCGGCGGCGGCGCCGGGCGCGGUGGCAGCACACCGACCGUGCCGGCGGUGUUCGUGGGCGGCGACCUCGUCGGCGGGAUUAACAGGGUCCUGGCGCUGCACCUCAGCGACGAGCUCGUGCGCAUGCUCAGGAACGCCGGCGCGAUCUGCCCAUGCUAGAAUAGUGAAGUCAACCGUGACAAUUGCUCGAAAAUAAUGGAGGGAGUAACUAAACCUCUGUAAUUAUUCUUCUCGUUUGAAUUUAGAUAUAACCGCUAAUAGUAUGUUGCUAUGCAAUUAUGCAGUUAAUAUCAAAUUGAAUUGUGUGUAAUGAAUUAAUCUGCUGAAUGCGGAUACGAGAAACAGUCGUUGACCCAACUCCUCAAGAAUCAAGAGGUGAUACGUUGCCCUUGAGAUGGUCGAGGGGAUCAACGUUUGAGCUACUGGUUUGGACAAAUUUUGACUGAAAUUUUAAAAUCUAAAUGAAUUCGUCCCAAAAAUUUCCGGCACUGCCAAAAUUCAAAGGCAAUCUGCACAGUGGAGUCGGCAGCCCGGCAGCACACCACAUAGAGCAUCGAACAGCACAAAUUCCAUCGACUGAAACUAAUUCAAGGCCUUCACGCCUUCAUUACACCAUCAACCGAACACAAGUUCAGUAGACUCUAGUCAGCGCAGCGACCAGUGACAAACUCACAAACAAUGACUGAAACCGUAAAGGCAAAGGCAGAUUGACACCACAAAGGAAUUUCAGCAUUUCCAUUAUGCAAUAGUGCAUUUUCUACUCAUCUAAUCAUCUCUGGAAUCAGAAGAAUCAGAAAUGUGCAUCAAGCUGCCAAUCAUCACGCAUCAGACCUGAGUUUCUUCUUCCUAGGUCACCUCUUCCUUUUUUUUCUUGUGGUCGUGGGUUCGUGACAUCGAUGCUCCAGUGGCUGUGAUGCUCCAGCUCCAUCUUGUCCACUUUCAUGAACUUCCUUUUCUUCUGCAUUUGCAAUUGGUACAGUCCAAAGUAACCAACUCCAGAAGAACAUCAUUUAUUUCCUUCUCUAUGGGAUCUCUGCUCCUGUUCUCAUUCUUUUGCCUUAGUUUGGAGUUAAAUGCACAAAAUGCAAGAUCCCUCAUCCUACCAUGAAGUAAUAGAUGAAAUAAUGGGCUUGGCCCAUUUCAAUUUCAGAAAUUCCAAAUAAAUCUCAAAAGCCCAUGUGGGAAUGAGCAAGUGGUUGAAGUGGUGCAAACCUUUAGUCCCACAUUGCUAGUGGAAGAGAAGGAUGGCCACAUAAAUAUGGAGGUUGUCUUCACUCCUCCAAGCUAUGUGUGUGGGGAGAGAAGGAAAGCUCCACACGCGCACGCUCGCUCGCUGCACCACACGGGGCGAAGGGCGUGGGCGUGUGACACCUGCAUGAAUGGUCGACCGAAAUCCGGCCUCCAACCUUGCGGUGGCGAGCAAACGGGAGAGCAGGUCUCCGAAACCUCUCGCUCUUGUGAUCCUACAUGGGGAGAGGGCAAAUAAGGUUUUUGGAAGCGCUCCGCGCGACUGCUCAAGGUCUUCACCAUGACUUGUCCUCCGUCUAAGUCUGGCGUUGUGGGCGUACCAUCGUCUUCGACGUCGUCUGUUGCGCUCCAUCCGCAACACCGUCAUCGUUCCGUCAGCACCGCUUGUCAUCACGGCUGCACCUGCUAAGUACGUACGUCGUGAUCCAAUCUGUUAUUUCAGCAUAUUUUCUAAGAUCAUGAAGUUGUGCACUUCUCUAAGCAUUGUCCAAAUCAUGCAGACCGCAAGGGCAAAAGGGCCAAUGGGUCUAAGUAUGUCAACAUGGUGACCAUAGGCAACACUGGAGAUGGGUACGGUAAUCUACCUACUGUUCUUUCAGUUUUUCAUUCCACUAGUUGGUGGUUUGAUACUGGUGCCAAUGUUCAUGUGUGUGCUGACAUCUCCAUGUUUUCCUCUUACCAGGUCACCCAGGAUUUCUCUGUGCUAAUGGGAAUGGGUCACAUGCUACUAUUCAUGGUGUUGGUACGGUAGAUCUGAAGUUUACUUCAGAAUUUCUUUGUGCUGAUGGGAAAUGGAUCACAUGCUGUUGUUCAUGGUAUUGGUACGGUAGAUCUAAAGUUACUUCGGGGAAGAUCGUGCAACUGAGGAACGUGCAUCAUGUCCCUACCAUCAACAAGAGUCUUGUGAGCGGGUCGGUCCCGUGUAAGGACGGGUUUAAGGUAGUGUUAGAGUCCAAUAAAUUAGUCAUGUCAAAACAUGGACAGUUCGUUGGUAAAGGCUAUGAGUGCGGAGGCUUGUUCUGCUUUUCCCUUGCAAACUUUUGUAAUAAGUCCGUGAACCAUAUUUGCGGCAACGUUAGUGUGAUGCGAGUACUUGGCAUUCACGUUUGUGCCAUAUUAAUUUUUGUUUAAUGUCUCGGCUUUCCAGCAUGUGUUUAAUUCCGAACCUCACCAUUGGCAAAGGUUCUAAGUGCCAUAGUUGUGUGCAAUCGAAGCAACCUCGGAAGCCUCACAAGGCGGCUGAGGAGAGACACUUGGCACCUCUAGAACUCAUACAUUCUGAUAUGUGUGAGAUGAAUGGUGUGUUGACAAAAGGUGGAAAGAGAUACUUCAUGACAUUGAUUGAUGAUGUGACUAGAUUUUUCUAUGUUUACUUGUUGCAAACUAAGGAUGAAGCAUUAGACUACUUUAAAAUUUAUAAGGCUGAGGUUGAGAAUCAACUUGAGAGAAAGAUCAAGUGUCUAAGGCUUGAUCAUGGUGGUGAGUAUUUUCCAAAAAUCUUUGAUGAAUUCUGUGAGGAACAUGGUAUUAUUCAUGAGAGGACGCCUCCCUAUUCGCUUGAGUCCAACAGGGUUGCUGAGAGGAAAAACCACACACUGACUGACUUAGUUAAUUCCAUGUUAGAUACUGCCAGUUUAUCUAAGGUAUGGUAGGGAGACUCUAUUGACUUCAUGUCAUGUCCCGAAUAGAGUUCCGAACAAAGAAUAAAGAUCAAACUUCAUAUAAGAUGUGGAUCGGGAGAAAACCGUCACUUUCUUAUUUGCGUACUUGGGCUGCUUGGCGAAAGUCAAUGUACCCAUUCCGAAGAAGCGCAAGUUAGGACCUAAGACAAUAGAUUGUGUCUUUCUAGGAUAUGCUCAAAGGAGCAUUGCUUAUAGAUUUUUAGUGGUUAAAUCUGAGGUCCCUGAUAUGCAUGUUGAUACUAUUAUGGAAUCUCAUGAUGCAACAUUUUUUCAGAAUAUAUUUCCUCUUAAAGAUAUGCAUAGCAACUCUAGAUUUUCUGCUGAAAUAACUUCUGAACCUACUGCACCUGUUGAGUCUUCUGAACAACCCGAUGAGCAUUAGCAUGAGGACGUCAUAGAGAAGGAUGACAGUGAAGCUCCUAGAAGAAGCAAGAGAUAGAGGGUUGAAAAAUCCUUUGGUGAUGAUUUCACUAUGUACCUUGUGGACAAUACUCCUACGUCCAUCAUUGAGACAUAUGCAUCUUCAGAUGCAGACGAUUGGAAAGAAGUUGUCCAAAGUGAGAUGGAUUCGAUUCUUUCUAAUGGGACAUGGGAGCUCACUGAACGACUCUACGGUUGCAAACCAGUGGGUUGUAAAUGGGUGUUCAAGAAGAAGUUUAGGCCUGAUGGUACUAUUGAAAAGUACAAGGCUAGACUUGUGGCCAAAGGUUACACACAAAAAGAAGGUGAAGACUUCUUCGAUACCUAUUCACCUGAUCGCUAGACUGACCUCUAUUCAAGCACUACUUUCUCUGGCUGCCUCGUAUAGUCUUAUCGUCCACCAGAUGGAUGUAAAGACAGCUUUUCUAAAUGGAGAGUUGGAUGAGGAGAUCUAUAUAGAUCAGCCUGAUGGGUUUGUGGUAAACGGUCAAGGGAGCAAGGUGUGUAAGUUGUUGAAGUCUUUGUAUGGCCUGAAAGAAGCACCUAAGUAAUGGUAUGAUAAUUUUGACAGAACUUUAACUUCUGCGGGCUUUGUCAUUAAUGAGAUUGAUAGAUGUGUGUACCAUCGCCAUGGUGGGGGUGAAGGGUUAUAUUAUGCUUGUAUGUGGAUGACAUACUGAUCUUUGGCACAAACAUUGAUGUGAUUAAUGAGGUCAAGCUGGGAGAAGCUGAUGUUAUUCUGAACAUCAAGCUGAUUAAGUAUGAGAAUAGGAUUACUCUUUUGCAAUCCCAUUAUGUGGAGAAGAUCUUGAACCAUUUUGUUUAUAUAGAUAGCAAGCCUUCUCCAACACCUUAUGAUCCCAGCGUGAUACUCAGAAAGAACAAGAAAACUGCUAAAGACCAACUGAGAUAUUCUCAGAUUGUCGGAUCACUCAUUUACUUAGGUAGUGCAACGAGACCCGACAUAGCUUUUGCUGUGAACAAAUUGAGUAGGUUCAUGUCAAUCCCGGGGUUUGAUCAUUGGCAUGCACUUGAAAGGGUUAUGCGCUACUUGGUGGGUACUAUGAGUUAUGAGAUUCACUAUUCCGGGCACCCUGCUGUGCUUGAGGGAUAUAGUGAUUCGAACUAGAUUUUGGAUGCUGAUGACCUAUAUGGCACGAGUGGGCAUGUGUUUACCCUUGGAGGUGGUGCAAUAUCAUGGAGGUCUUGCAAACAGACCAUUCUGACGAGGUCAACCAUGGAAACAAAACUUACUGCUUUGGAAACAGCCACUGUUGAGGCAGAAUAGCUGCGUGAUCUCUUGAUGGACUUGCCUAUAGUUGAUAAACCAAUACCAGCAAUCCUUAUGAACUGUGACAAUCAAACGGUGAUAGUUAAAGUGAACAGUGCUAAGGAUAACGCAAAAUCAUCAAGAUAUGUCAAGAGACGACUGAAGUCUGGCAGAAAGUUGAGAAACUCCGGAGUAAUAAGUGUGACUUAUAUUCAAACAGAUAAAAAUCUGGCAUAUCUCUUUACAAAAGGGCUAUCACGGAAUGUGAUAGAAUGUACAUGAAGGGAGAUGGAUAUGAGACCCGUUUAAGUUGCCGUAGUGGUAGCCCAACCUAUGUGAUUGGAGAUCACGCGAAUUAGGAUAUGGGAAAAACAAGCUGUCGGUUGACUGAGGAGAGUAAAUUAUUAAACUCUCUCUAUAUAAAAAUACAAUACUCUCAAAUGCUGCAAGGAAGGUUAGCAAUGUGCUUUAAUGUGCUUCUAUUGACUUGAUUAAGCGAAGAUGCUGUCCUACAUAGCAUUCUUGAAAGAACACACAUAUAUGAGCCCGACUGUACAACAUCGCAGUCUAUGAGACUUGGGUGAUCUCUAGUAAUCUCAUGAAGAGACCAAGAAGUAUGACGAAUAUGCUUCACCUGUGGGGUAGGCUACUGGCAGCGAGGUACUAGUUCCAACUCUAAGUGAAACUUGUCCGCACAAAACUUGCAAUUCAAGGCUUAGUCCAUUGUCAAGUUAUGGAUGAAUGUAGCUUGAAGCUCUAGGCGAGAGUUCAACUUAACAGUCCUUGCUGAAACACUAGUAUAUAAACAGCAAGGAGAAACAGGCAAAAUCUCUGAUAGACUUUUGAGAUCUUUUGGGGGAUUGAUGAAAUAAUGGGCUUGUCCCAUUUCAAUUUAAGAAAUUCCAAAUAAAUCUCAAAGGCCCAUGUGGGAAUGAGCAAGUGGUCGGAGUGCUGCAAACCUUUUGUCCCACAUUGCUAGUGGAGGAGAAGGAUGGCCAACAUAAAUAUAAAGGUUGUCUCCACUCCUCCAAGCUAUGUGUGUGGGGAGAAAAGGAAAGCUCCACAUGCACGCGCUCGCUCUCCAUGCCACGCCUCGUCGGGCAGGGUGAAGGGCGCGGGCAUGCGACACCUGCGUGAAUGGUCCACCGAAAUCCGACGUCCAACCUUGCGGUGGCGUGGUUUCCUUGUGCCGUUUUAUUUUUUGUUAGUUGGUCUUUAAGUCAAUGAGAUAUAUGGAAGCCUAAUCGGUUUAGAUCACGAUCGCGACGUGAGAUCGUGGGUUCUCCUCUAUAUACGACCUAUCGUCCUCUACCGAAAAGACAUCUAAUCGAGCUAGGGUUUUGCCUCUUCUCGCUGCUGUGGCGCCACCAUAGUCUACUCCAUCUCGAGCACCGGCGUGCACCAACGAACAAGAGAGUAGGUCUCCGGAACAUCUCGCUCUUGUGAUCCUGCACCGGGAGAGGGCGAAUAACGGUUUUGGAAAACGCUCCGCGCGACUGCUCAAGGUCUUCACCAUGGCUCAUCCUCCGUCCAAAUCAGGCUUUGCGGCGUACAUCGUCUUCAACGUCGUCUGCUGCGCUCCGUCUGCAACAGCGUCGUCAUUUCGUCAGCACCGCUUGUCAUCAGAGCUCACCCGCUAAGUACGUACGCCGUGAUCCAAUCUGUUAUUUCAGCAUGUUUUCUGAGAUCAUGAAGUUGUGCUUGUUGUUGCCUUGUAUGUUAGAGAAUCGCAUGCUAGGUUUUAUUCUUAUUAUGAUAAAUCUAGUUCGGAAAUUAAUCAUGCAGCAGUAGUUUGUUGGCAUUCUUUGUGGUGAACCGCGCCAUGCCAAACGCCUGCAUGUGACAUAGAGGUCGUAUUGAAGAUGUUGUCAGGAACAAAUGGUGAAAACCUUCAGCGAGACAAGAUAUAUAGCAAACUGGGAAGAUUUAUCUAGUACGGUCGAAUUGUAUGAUGAUUUGAUCAGCAAGAAUGGUGAAACUAUACAAGGACAAGAGAGUCCACUACGGAAAAAGGAAGUGUGACUGAGGGAGGGGCCGAAUGCGAGUGCAACCUAUCUGUAUGAAUAUUCAAUUCUGGACCUGAAGAUUGAUAUAAAGUGGCUGCUCUUAGCCGAAGGGAUCAGAUCCUUCUGUCAUACUGUCAUGUGACGAAGCAUCGCCGCGUUGUUGUCGGCACAUUUGCUUUUCCUAUGGACUUCUGUAUUAAUUUAAACUCGAGCUCAAAGACCGACCUGAGCUCUAAAGUUAAGCAGUGACGCAGGAAAAACUCACUUUUUCACACAGCUGAAGGAAAUAGCAUGUGUAUUGCACUCAGACUGCUAACAACAGCAGAACAAAGGUUCACUGUGCUCUCGCUGCUUUUCAGCUUGUCAACAAUAUAUUACAAACAGUAUGCUAACAUCUGCACUUGGUCUGUAUUUGAAUCUUGAAGUGCAGGUAUGUGUUAUUAAUAAGUCUUCUUUUCAAGAUUGUUAUAAAACAGUGGCUGAACAAAAUCUUUUUUCUCUCUUGAGAUAUUUCCAGAUUUUUUUUUCUCUCUUCAUUGCCCCUCACCUUUACUUUCGUCUCAGAUAUGCUUUUGCAGAUCAUAGAAUGUAGCCCCUUGCAUACAUGAGGAGCCAGGAACUGAUCAAGCUCAGGAAGGAAUCUCAAGAUGCAAAGUUCCACACAUGGUCCGCACUGCGAGGACAGAUCUUGAGGAUAAGGGUACAUGUCUAUCCAGAUAUUCUCCAUUGUCGUCUGCUUGUUCCAGAGGUUUGCAUCAUAUACAAGAGAAGAUGUGAAGAUGCAUCGCGGCUUAUCAACGGUGACUGUUCCAUAGCAUCAUUUAAACAGCAUGCUCUUGCUGAUAUGCAAUGCAAGGUUCUGCUGCGUCUUGCUGAUAAGGAUGAUGCGGCUUGUUAAAGGUGGAAGUCUUCAGAGAGAACCAGACAUAGCAAAUUGGGUGUCUGACUGAAGAUUUGUUCACUAAGAAUGGUGUGAAACUGUUCAGAAGCAACGUGAGAAUGCAAAUGGGGCAGAUUCUGGCGCCACGGAUAAGGUCAGAAGAGAGACUGACUGUGGAUGAUGAAAGUCGUCAGAGAUAACAAGACAUUGCAAAAUGGGUGUCUGACUGAAGAUUCAUUCACUAAGAAUGGUGAAACUAUUCAGAAGCAACUUGAGAAUGCAAAUGGGCAGAUUCUGACGCUACGGACAAGGUCAGAAGAGAGAGUGACUGUGUGAGGGGGACUGAUGAGACCGUAGGCUCUCUGUCUGAAGAUGCCAUUCUGUACCUGAAGAACAGGGGCUUGAUACCUCCAAUACAAAGUGGUUGUUCUUAGCCGGAGGAAUCAGAUCCUGCUGUCAUACUGUCAUGUGACGAAGCGUCGCCGUGUUGUUGUCGGCACUUUUGAUUUUUCUAUGGACUUCUGUACUUAACACUCGGACUCAAAAGGUCUGAACUCUCAAGUUAGCAGUGAUGCAGGCCAGCAUUCAGAUUUUCACAGAACUGAAGAACACUACAACUACUAGGUAAUGGAAAUGACAUACAUUGCAUCAGAGGUUUUCAGUGAUUACAAGGUUCAGAAUUCAGACCCUAUAUCAACAAAGCAGAGAAAAAUUUCACUGUUCUCAUUGUUCUAUUUUUGAGCUAUUCAACCAUGUCUUACUAGUAUGUUAACGUGUGUACUUGAUCAGUAUCGGAAUCUGUAAGUGCAUACAUAUACUCUCAAGAUUGUAUGAUUAUAAAUUGUGACUGAACAAUUUAUUUCUACCCUAAAGAAAAUCCACAAAUAUACGUUUGUGUAUAGUCCUAUCCUCAUUUGAAAAGAUCCAUUUGUUUUUUCAGAUUUUAGCAUUGGAAUUUCGGCAUGAGGUCAACUCGUGUUAUGAGGAAAGAUUCUAGUGCUCCAAGGCCCUCAUGCAUGAACACACACACGGAUUCUUAUCCAAAACUAGCUAUCCAAUCUUUAACUUGCCUGCACUCUACCAGAAGAAUCAUUUUUCAGUUACACAUGAACCAAAUCUAGCUAUAUAUGUUCCAUAUGCACAUAAAAGAAUAUAACAUGCUUAGAAAAUGCUAUGAUCUCAUUAGCAAAAAAAAAUGAAAAUGCUAUGAUAUGGUUGUUAAGAAUCUUACAAUAAUCCACUGCAGAUAGGCACACAUACUGACAUCUUUUUCUAGCCUAUAAAAGGAAGCCAUGGCCAGCACCAAGAAACCAGACCAGUCAACUUUUGCAGACCAUCUACAACUCUAAAGAGGGACGAGUCUAGAACCUUCCGGGGCACCAGACCAUUGAAGUGAUGGACCGCGUUGCGAGGCUGGUGUCGGAGCGGGCGGUGGUGGUGUUCACGGCGAGCAACUGCAGCAUGUGCGACGUCGUGACGUCGCUGCUGGGCAGCCUGGGCGUGAACGCUGCCGUGCACGAUCUGGACAGGGACCCCCGGGGCCGGGAGAUGGAGCGGGAGCUCGCCAGGAG
rnacentral:lncRNA from 1 species